rnacentral:rRNA from 1 species
AGCAGUCGCCGCGGUAACACAGAGGGUGCGAGCGUUAAUCGGAUUUACUGGGCGUAAAGCGUGCGUAGGCGGCUUCUUAAGUCGGAUGUGAAAUCCCUGAGCUUAACUUAGGAAUUGCAUUCGAUACUGGGAAGCUAGAGUAUGGGAGAGGAUGGUAGAAUUCCAGGUGUAGCGGUGAAAUGCGUAGAGAUCUGGAGGAAUACCGAUGGCGAAGGCAGCCAUCUGGCCUAAUACUGACGCUGAGGUACGAAAGCAUGGGGAGCAAACAGGAUUAGAGACCCCCGUAGUCCCUGUCUCUUAUAA